GACGAACGCUGGCGGCGUGCCUAAUACAUGCAAGUUGAGCGCUGAAGGUUGGUACUUGUACCAACUGGAUGAGCAGCGAACGGGUGAGUAACGCGUGGGGAAUCUGCCUUUGAGCGGGGGACAACAUUUGGAAACGAAUGCUAAUACCGCAUAAAAACUUUAAACACAAGUUUUAAGUUUGAAAGAUGCAAUUGCAUCGCUCAAAGAUGAUCCCGCGUUGUAUUAGCUAGUUGGUGAGGUAAAGGCUCACCAAGGCGAUGAUACAUAGCCGACCUGAGAGGGUGAUCGGCCACAUUGGGACUGAGACACGGCCCAAACUCCUACGGGAGGCAGCAGUAGGGAAUCUUCGGCAAUGGACGAAAGUCUGACCGAGCAACGCCGCGUGAGUGAAGAAGGUUUUCGGAUCGUAAAACUCUGUUGGUAGAGAAGAACGUUGGUGAGGGUGGAAAGCUCAUCAAGUGACGGUAACUACCCAGAAAGGGACGGCUAACUACGUG
rnacentral:rRNA from 1 species